AAGCCUGAUCCAGCCAUGCCGCGUGGGUGAAGAAGGAUUUCGGUUCGUAAAACUCUGUUGUAAGGGAAGAACAAGUACAGUAGUAACUGGCUGUACCUUGACGGUACCUUAUUAGAAAGCCACGGCUAACUACGUGCCAGCAGCCGCGGUAAUACGUAGGUGGCAAGCGUUGUCCGGAUUUACUGGGUGUAAAGGGCGUGUAGCCGGGAAGGUAAGUCAGAUGUGAAAUCUGGGGGCUCAACCUCCAAACUGCAUUUGAAACUACUUUUCUUGAGUAUCGGAGAGGUAAUCGGAAUUCCUUGUGUAGCGGUGAAAUGCGUAGAUAUAAGGAAGAACACCAGUGGCGAAGGCGGAUUACUGGACGACAACUGACGGUGAGGCGCGAAAGCGUGGGGAGCAAACA
rnacentral:rRNA from 1 species